rnacentral:lncRNA from 1 species
UUUCAUUUAACUUAUCAUCUAGCGUCACCUAAACUAGGUGCAUUACUUCUAUGUUUUAAUCUCCUUGCAUUCUUGUUAGCAGACAACUGCUAGAGGGGUGCUGAAUGUUGUGAGACCUCGCCCAACACUUGCAAUUCAGCAAUGAAGACAGCAUCUAUUCUACCUGCCAACUCUUGCAAGGUCUUCCCGGUUUUAUUUAUUGAAUUGUGCACAAAUAGAAUAUUCUGAUACAUAGAUAUUUUUUUUAUUUUUUUGAACUUGAAUGAUCCUUUUUGAUGCAUAGAGAUUAGAUUCCAUGAUGAUCUAUCCUGAAAACCAUUCAAAUUCGGUUUGUCAAAUUUCGAUGGUCAACUUACCAGAAUUCUAAUGUUUGAAAAAUGCACUGCACUCGACUGCUAAGAUCUAUGAUAGAUACAAAUGUGUUCUAUCUUGUUCUUCAGGAAAUCUCCAAGAUGGUUUUGAUUGUUAGGGUUGUGUAUAUUAACUGGGAUUUCAGGAGUGUACUCUAGCAGCCGGUUUUGCAGAUCAAGUCAAUUUCUAGAUUAUUGCUUGAUGAUCAUGUGUGGUUGAUCAGAUUGUGGAAGUCUGUUGAAGAGUUAAAAAGUAUAUGAUCCUCCUUGAUACCCAACAGGCAUCAGCGUCAUGUAUUACUCAAAAUAAAAUUUAGUUUUUUUUUUUUUUUAAUAGUUUAUUGAUGGUUUGUUAUCUUCAAAUAUCUGUGAUAUAAUAUUUUGAUUCAUUUAUUUUUCCUAACUGGUUCAAUCCUAUUUUGAUCUUUUAACUCUUUUUGGGAACAUGCUCAAGU